GGCGGUGGUGGGGGGGCGGGGAGGGCGUAGUCUGGAGGAGGCUGGCGGGGGUUAUGGAGGGGGUCCUGGCAUCCCCCGUCUCCCCCCAUUCCCUCGCUACCCCCAUUGGCCUCUCACCGGCACAAGUAGCGGCGGGGCUGGAAGUGGGCGGGAGUUUAGCAGGCUUCGCUAAGAUUGGGCUGGAAGUUAACGGAGGAGGAGGCGCGGCACGUGACAAUGCAAUACAGGGCUUACAGAGGGCAGGCGUGACUGGGCCCUACCUCGCCGCCCUUGUCAACACCUUAGAGAGAGAUACGCUCACCUUGUAGAGAGGAGAGAGAGAGAGAGAGAGAGAGAGGAUAUAUUUUAAUUUUCUUUCGUUAUAUAUUCAAUUUAUUUAUUUAUUUAUUAUUUUAACGGUUAUUUUCUUUUCUCUAUUUUUCGUUUCGUUUUUUUUUUAUGGAAUGUUGAAUUUUACCUAUAUUUGUUUACAUUUUUUUUUUAUCAAUUUCUUUUGAUUUUAUAUUCAGUUCAUUUAUUUAUCUUUAUUUUUUUAAGACCAUUUAUUUAUUUUUCUUUAUUUUUUUUCGUUCAUUUUCAUAAUGGGAAUAUUUACUUUUAUAUAUAUUUUUCAAUUAUUUUUCAUUUCUUCGAUUUAAGUGUGUCUAAGUACUUGCAAGGAUCAUUUAUUUAUUUAUUUACUUUUAUUUUCCGUCCGUUUUUAUUUAUUUAUUUAUUUAUUUAUUUAUCUUUUUUUUUUAUAAUGGAAACUUAUUUCAUCUUUAUUCCCGUUUUCUGUUACUUGUUCAUGCCAGGGGUGACAAUAAACAUUAAGAUUA